AUAAAUCCUGGAGUUAGAACUUA
rnacentral:siRNA from 1 species